AAUCCGGUACUCAUUAAGGCUGAGCUGUGAUGGGGAGAAGACAUUGUGUCUUCGAGUCGUUGAUUUCACACUGCCGAGAAAAGCCUCUAGAUAGAAAAUAGGUGCCCGUACCGCAAACCGACACAGGUAGUCAAGAUGAGAAUUCUAAGGUGAGCGAGCGAACUCUCGUUAAGGAACUCGGCAAAAUGACCCCGUAACUUCGGGAGAAGGGGUGCUCUUUAGGGUUAACGCCCAGAAGAGCCGCAGUGAAUAGGCCCAAGCGACUGUUUAUCAAAAACACAGGUCUCUGCUAAACCGUAAGGUGAUGUAUAGGGGCUGACGCCUGCCCGGUGCUGGAAGGUUAAGAGGAGUGGUUAGCUUCUGCGAAGCUACGAAUCGAAGCCCCAGUAAACGGCGGCCGUAACUAUAACGGUCCUAAGGUAGCGAAAUUCCUUGUCGGGUAAGUUCCGACCCGCACGAAAGGCGUAACGAUUUGGGCACUGUCUCAACGAGAGACUCGGUGAAAUCAUAGUACCUGUGAAGAUGCAGGUUACCCGCGACAGGACGGAAAGACCCCGUGGAGCUUUACUGUAGCCUGAUAUUGAAAUUCGGCACAGCUUGUACAGGAUAGGUAGGAGCCUUUGAAACGUGAGCGCUAGCUUACGUGGAGGCGCUGGUGGGAUACUACCCUAGCUGUGUUGGCUUUCUAACCCGCACCACUUAUCGUGGUGGGAGACAGUGUCAGGCGGGCAGUUUGACUGGGGCGGUCGCCUCCUAAAAGGUAACGGAGGCGCUCAAAGGUUCCCUCAGAAUGGUUGGAAAUCAUUCAUAGAGUGUAAAGGCAUAAGGGAGCUUGACUGCGAGACCUACAAGUCGAGCAGGGUCGAAAGACGGACUUAGUGAUCCGGUGGUUCCGCAUGGAAGGGCCAUCGCUCAACGGAUAAAAGCUACCCCGGGGAUAACAGGCUUAUCUCCCCCAAGAGUUCACAUCGACGGGGAGGUUUGGCACCUCGAUGUCGGCUCAUCGCAUCCUGGGGCUGUAGUCGGUCCCAAGGGUUGGGCUGUUCGCCCAUUAAAGCGGUACGCGAGCUGGGUUCAGAACGUCGUGAGACAGUUCGGUCCCUAUCCGUCGUGGGCGUAGGAAAUUUGAGAGGAGCUGUCCUUAGUACGAGAGGACCGGGAUGGACAUACCUCUGGUGUACCAGUUGUCGUGCCAACGGCAUAGCUGGGUAGCUAUGUGUGGACGGGAUAAGUGCUGAAAGCAUCUAAGCAUGAAGCCCCCCUCAAGAUGAGAUUUCCCAACUUCGGUUAUAAGAUCCCUCAAAGAUGAUGAGGUUAAUAGGUUCGAGGUGGAAGCAUGGUGACAUGUGGAGCUGACGAAUACUAAUCGAUCGAAGACUUAAUC
rnacentral:rRNA from 1 species